rnacentral:rRNA from 1 species
AGGGGGGUUCUAUCAUGCCAAGUCGAGCGGAACAGGGAGCUUGCUCCCGGAUGUUAGGAGCAGACGGGUGAGUAGCAUGUGAGUAACCCGCCUGUAGGAGGAGGAUAACUCCGGGAAACCGCUGCUAAUACCGGAUAGUUCCUUGAAACGCAUGGUUAACGGAUGAAAUACGGUUUCGGCUGUCACUUACAGAUGGACCCGCGGCGCAUUAGCUAGUUGGUGAGGUAACGGCUCACCCAKGCSACGAUGCAUAGCCGACCUGARAGGGUGAUCGGCCACACUGGGACUGARACACUGCCCAAACUCCUACKGGAGGCAGCWGUACGGAAUCUUCCGCAAUGGACGAAACUCUGACCGAGCAACACCGCGUGAGUGAUGAAGGUUUUCAGAUCGUAAAGCUCUGUUGUUAGGGAAGAACAUAUGCAAGAGUAACUGCUUGCCCCUUGACGGUACCGAACCAUAAAGUUGGGGGAUGGUACGUGCCAACUCACCGGUUAAAGCGCUUUGGCAAUGCUUUGGCCGGAAUUAUUGGGCGUAAAGGGCUCGCAGGCGGUUUCUUAAGUCUGAUGUGAAAGCUCUCGGCUCAACCGUUGAGGGUCAUUGGAAACU